CUUAUAAUUACCUUAUAGUUAUACCUUAUAGUUAUGCUUGUUAAAUAAUAAAUAUUUUUAUUUUGGUUGUAUCUCGCUCAAUAUUGUAUGUAAAUUCAAGUGUUAUAUAUCAAAACCUAAGUUAGUCCUUUCUGAAUGCAAUGAGCUUUAUUUCAUUGCGAUAGCUUUUAUAGCUUUUACGUCACAUGAAAUUAAACAGUGUCCAGUUUUUUUUUUGGUACACCCGGUAGAACUAUCAUCAACUUUUAAACUUAGGGUGAUAAUAUAGAACCAAGACACUAACCCUAUAGAAUGGCCUUGUGACGAAACAUAACGAUGUCACCGAUAAGCGCUCAGGGUAAGUGUUAUAAAACCCUAUCCCU